GCACAUGCACGUGUUGUGUUGUGUUUCCUCCAUAAGAAAUUCUUUUCCUGGAUUUGUGAUCCCUGUGGAACAUUAAGAACCUCUCCGAUUGAAUCUCAGGGAGGAACCGGAGGUAUGAAUGACAACUGUUUGAGAAGAAGGUCCCAAAUCCCUCUCUUAAAACCUUGGGAUUGUGCUUGAGACUCAGCCCCGAUGUGUUCCGUGGUGAGUCACUCACCUGGUUUACCCACACUGUAUGCUCCCCCUACCUGCCCCUACCUUGUCAUAAGUGCUGAGGAUUGAACCCAUGGCCUCGUUGCAUGUCAGGUGCUGGGAACAUUAAAUCUUCAUGUCUGGAGGACAAGAAAACUAAAAGUACUCAUUGUUCAGUAGCCACUGAGGCUGAUGGGAGGCGGGACUGUGGAUUCACGUGGCUGACGAUGACUGGUCUUCCUGGCCAUAUUACUUUCUCUUUCUUUUAUCAAGUACAGACAUGGCGCCUGCCUGGAGUGGUGGUAUGAGUGCCCAAUCUCAACGAAACAACCAAGGCCACCUGUUCCCAUUUUUUUUUAUUGCUGUUGUUACAUGUGUAUAUGUGACAUAUGUGCAUGUAUGUUCAUGUGUUUGUGGGUACACAUUGUAUGCCGGUGUGUGUGGAUAUGUCUCUACGUGGCCAUUGAAGAAAUUAAAACAGGAAGACUCG
ensembl:lincRNA A330102I10Rik RIKEN cDNA A330102I10 gene